rnacentral:rRNA from 1 species
CAGGAUGAACGCUAGCGGGAGGCCUAACACAUGCAAGCCGAGCGGUAUAGUUUCUUCGGAAACUAGAGAGCGGCGUACGGGUGCGUAACACGUGUGCAACCUACCUUUAUCAGGGGAAUAGCCUUUCGAAAGGAAGAUUAAUACUCCAUAAUAUAUUAGAUGGCAUCAUUUAAUAUUGAAAACUCCGGUGGAUAGAGAUGGGCACGCGCAAGAUUAGAUAGUUGGUGAGGUAACGGCUCACCAAGUCAAUGAUCUUUAGGGGUCCUGAGAGGGAGAUCCCCCACACUGGUACUGAGACACGGACCAGACUCCUACGGGAGGCAGCAGUGAGGAAUAUUGGACAAUGGGUGAGAGCCUGAUCCAGCCAUCCCGCGUGAAGGAUGACGGUCCUAUGGAUUGUAAACUUCUUUUGUAUAGGAAUAAACCUACCCUCGUGAGGGUAGCUGAAGGUACUAUACGAAUAAGCACCGGCUAACUCCGUGCCAGCAGCCGCGGUAAUACGGAGGGUGCAAGCGUUAUCCGGAUUUAUUGGGUUUAAAGGGUCCGUAGGCGGACCGAUAAGUCAGUGGUGAAAUCUCAUAGCUUAACUAUGAAACUGCCGUUGAUACUGUCGGUCUUGAGUAAAUUAGAGGUAGCUGGAAUAAGUAGUGUAGCGGUGAAAUGCAUAGAUAUUACUUAGAACACCAAUUGCGAAGGCAGGUUACCAUGAUUUAACUGACGCUGAGGGACGAAAGCGUGGGGAGCGAACAGGAUUAGAUACCCUGGUAGUCCACGCCGUAAACGAUGCUAACUCGUUUUUGGGGCGCAAGCUUCAGAGACCAAGCGAAAGUGAUAAGUUAGCCACCUGGGGAGUACGUUCGCAAGAAUGAAACUCAAAGGAAUUGACGGGGGCCCGCACAAGCGGUGGAUUAUGUGGUUUAAUUCGAUGAUACGCGAGGAACCUUACCAAGACUUAAAUGGGAAAUGACAGGUUUAGAAAUAGAUCCUUCUUCGGACAUUUUUCAAGGUGCUGCAUGGUUGUCGUCAGCUCGUGCCGUGAGGUGUUAGGUUAAGUCCUGCAACGAGCGCAACCCCUGUCACUAGUUGCUAACAUUCAGUUGAGGACUCUAGUGAGACUGCCUACGCAAGUAGAGAGGAAGGUGGGGAUGACGUCAAAUCAUCACGGCCCUUACGUCUUGGGCCACACACGUAAUACAAUGGCCGGUACAGAGGGCAGCUACACAGCGAUGUGAUGCAAAUCUCGAAAGCCGGUCUCAGUUCGGAUUGGAGUCUGCAACUCGACUCUAUGAAGCUGGAAUCGCUAGUAAUCGCGCAUCAGCC